AUUGAACGCUGGCGGCAGGCUUAACACAUGCAAGUCGAGCGGGGGAAGGUAGCUUGCUACCGGACCUAGCGGCGGACGGGUAAGUAAUGCUUAGGAAUCUGCCUAUUAGUGGGGGACAACAUCUCGAAAGGGAUGCUAAUACCGCAUACGUCCUACGGGAGAAAGCAGGGGAUCUUCGGACCUUGCGCUAAUAGAUGAGCCGAAGUCGGAUUAGCUAGUUGGUGGGGUAAAGGCCUACCAAGGCGUCGAUCUGUAGCGGGUCUGAGAGGAUGAUCCGCCACACUGGGACUGAGACACGGCCCAGACUCCUACGGGAGGCAGCAGUGGGGAAUAUUGGACAAUGGGGGGAACCCUGAUCCAGCCAUGCCGCGUGUGUGAAGAAGGCCUUAUGGUUGUAAAGCACUUUAAGCGAGGAGGAGGCUACUCUAGUUAAUACCUAGGGAUAGUGGACGUUACUCGCAGAAUAAGCACCGGCUAACUCUGUGCCAGCCGCCGCAGUAA
rnacentral:rRNA from 1 species